CUUAUUAGAGAUUAUUGCCUAGGCAUAUUACCGAAAAGUUUAGAUAUUUAAUUAAAUUGUGCAGUAAAAUCACGGGUAGUGUAUUUAAAAUUUAAUUAAUGUUGUGAUAAAUUAAUCGGUAGACUUUAUAACUGUUUAUAGAUUUUUAUUUUAAUUACUUUUAUAGCGAAGAGGUUAUAAGGGGUAAAAUGCUAUUAAUUAGAUUAAUUUGAAGACAAGGUUAAAAUUACCUUAAUUUAAUAAAACUGUUAUAAGUUUAGUUAAUUGUUAUUUUAGCUUUAUUAAUAAAUCUAUAAUGUUUAAUAAUUUGUGCUUUAUUAUUACUAAAUUAGUAAUUAUAUCAAUUUUUUUGUUUUUCAUCCGCGGUCCGUCUGUUUAUUAAAAACAUUGCUAUACGUUUAUUCUUUAUAGUAGUACCUGCUCUAUGUUAUUAUAAAUGGCCGCAGUAUCUUGACUGUGCAAAGGUAGCAUAAUUAAUUGCCUUCUAAUUAAGGGCUUGUUUGAAUGGUUUGACGAGAUCGUAAGGUAACAUUAAAGUUUUAAGUGAAAUUAAUUUUAAGAGUACAGAAUCUUUAUUAUUUAAUUAGACGGAAAGACCCUAGGAUCUUGUUAUUUUGCUUGGGGCAAGUGAAAAUGUUUCAUUUUCUUUUUGAUCCUUAUGGUUUAUAGAUUUAAGUUACCCUAGGGAUAACAGUGUAAUAGUUUAGUAGAGGUCUUAUCGAUUAAACUGUUUGCUACCUCGAUGUUGACUUGGGUUAAUGUUUUGGCGUAGCCGUUAAAAGUUUUGGUCUGUUCGACCAGAUGUACCCCCAUGAGUUGAGUUAAGACCGACGUAA
rnacentral:rRNA from 1 species